CUCUUCCUCUGGGAAGCUCAGCGGAAGUCCCCAUCCCCGGUAGAGGGCGAGACCAGAGAACCUUGACUCAGCAAAUCACAGAGCACUGGAAGGCAGUGAAGAUUGACAGCAGCAGCCGUGCCGAGCGGAGCGCUGGGAGUGUCACGGAAUGCUGUGGAAGAAUAUCUACUUCUUCAAGCUUCUUGACAAUGGUAGUUAGCUCAGGAGAUUUGGAAGGCUAUCUACAUGUUUGAAGAUUUUAUACACUUGCUUUAAACGCUCAUCCAACAAGCCACAUGCAAGAAAUACUGGGAGGAUAGUGGAAGCUUAGGUGAAACCGUGACUCUCCUGAAUCUCCCACGUGGUUCAUCCUCUUUCAGGAAGCUCCUCCAUGGAUGGGGAGGGGUAGAAAAGUCUUACUAUGGGAGGACCAAGCCGCUUGUGGAGUAGGUGCAUAGUUCAUCUGACAGUUCCUAAUCAAUAGAAUUAAGACUGUCCACUGCCAUUCAACAGCACCGGGCAAAACGUCAGCACACUGGCCCUUGCUCUUCGCUGUGUUUACGGUUUCCAUAGAGAUUCUGCUCUCGGGAAUGACAAGCAGCAGAGGCUGGUACUAUGGCUUAGCUGGUAAAGGCGCUCGCUGCCAAGCCUGACGACCUGAGUUCAAACCCCAGGACUCAUACCUGGGUCAACCGACUCCCUUCUAGGUGAACCCUUCCAGGCUGAGCUACACCUGAACCCCACGUGCAUUCAAGAAAUCAUUCCUGGGGCUAGAAAGGAUCCCGACUGAGAUGUCUUUAUUAGUCGCUCUUCCUCUGGCUGUGACAAAAUUUUCUCACAAAAUCAACUGAAGGUGGAAAAGGUUAACUCAGCCUCACAGUUCAAGGGUGUAAUCCCUGGUGGUGGAGAAGUCAUAACAGCAGGACCUUGGCAGCUGGUCAUAAGCAGCUCAGCCGGGAAGCAGACAGAGGUGAGUGCUGAUGCUCAGCUGGCUUCCUCCUUUCCAUACAGUUCAGGAUCCAAGCUCAGAGCACGGGACCACCCACUUUUAGAGUGGGCCUCCACACCUCAACAAACCUAAGGAUGGCCCUCCCUUGAAAGCAUGGGCCAGAGACUAAUCUAAUCAAGAUGAUGCCUGACAUCUAUGACCUGGUGAUUCCAGAUCUUGUCGAGUCAUCAAUGCUAACCAUUGUGAACAUCAAAUAAAUAGUAGAAAUGUAUUCCUUCAA